CCCUUAGAUGUUCUGGGCCGCACGUGCGCUACACUGGUGCAUUCAACGAGCCUAUCCUUGACCGACAGGUCCGGGUAAUCUUUGAAUCUGCAUCGUGACGGGGAUAGAUUAUUGCAAUUAUUAAUCUUCAACGAGGAAUGCCUAGUAGGCGCAAGUCAUCAGCUUGCGUCGAUUACGUCCCUGCCCUUUGUACACACCGCCCGUCGCUCCUACCGAUUGGGUGUGCUGGUGAAAUGUUCGGAUCGGCCGUUUGUCGCGGUUUCCGCGUCAUGUGGCUGAGAAGUUCAUUAAACCCUCCCACCUAGAGGAAGGAGAAGUCGUAACA
rnacentral:rRNA from 1 species